GGCAUGCCUUACACAUGCAAGUCGAACGGCAGGCACGGGAGCAAUCCUGGUGGCGAGUGGCGAACGGGUGAGUAAUAUAUCGGAACGUGCCCAGUCGUGGGGGAUAACGUAGCGAAAGCUACGCUAAUACCGCAUACGAUCUAUGGAUGAAANCGGGGAUCGCAAGACCUCGCGCGAUUGGAGCGGCCGAUAUCAGAUUAGGUAGUUGGUGAGGUAAAGGCUCACCAAGCCGACGAUCUGUAGCUGGUCUGAGAGGACGACCAGCCACACUGGGACUGAGACACGGCCCAGACUCCUACGGGAGGCAGCAGUGGGGAAUUUUGGACAAUGGGCGCAAGCCUGAUCCAGCAAUGCCGCGUGCAGGAUGAAGGCCUUCGGGUUGUAAACUGCUUUUGUACGGAACGAAACGGUGAGCUCUAAUACAGUUUGCUAAUGACGGUACCGUAAGAAUAAGCACCGGCUAACUACGUG
rnacentral:rRNA from 1 species